rnacentral:rRNA from 1 species
UACGUAGGGUGCAAGCGUUGUCCGGAAUUAUUGGGCGUAAAGAGCUCGUAGGCGGUUUGUCGCGUCGGCUGUGAAAACUCGGGGCUCAACCCCGAGCCUGCAGUCGAUACGGGCAGACUAGAGUGUUGUAGGGGAGACUGGAAUUCCUGGUGUAGCGGUGAAAUGCGCAGAUAUCAGGAGGAACACCGGUGGCGAAGGCGGGUCUCUGGGCAGUAACUGACGCUGAGGAGCGAAAGCGUGGGGAGCGAACAGG